rnacentral:rRNA from 1 species
GAUGAACGCUGGCGGCGUGCCUAAUACAUGCAAGUCGAGCGAACAGACGAGGAGCUUGCUCCUCUGACGUUAGCGGCGGACGGGUGAGUAACACGUGGAUAACCUACCUAUAAGACUGGGAUAACUUCGGGAAACCGGAGCUAAUACCGGAUAAUAUAUUGAACCGCAUGGUUCAAUAGUGAAAGACGGUUUUGCUGUCACUUCUGGCUGGAUCCGCGCCGCAUUAGCUAGUUGGUAAGGUAACGGCUUACCAAGGCGACGAUGCGUAGCCGACCUGAGAGGGUGAUCGGCCACACUGGAACUGAGACACGGUCCAGACUCCUACGGGAGGCAGCAGUAGGGAAUCUUCCGCAAUGGGCGAAAGCCUGACGGAGCAACGCCGCGUGAGUGAUGAAGGUCUUCGGAUCGUAAAACUCUGUUAUGAGGGAAGAACAAAUGUGUAAGUAACUAUGCACGUCUUGACGGUACCUAAUCAGAAAGCCACGGCUAACUACGUG